rnacentral:lncRNA from 1 species
UACAGUAUAGACAGAAGAGACCUGCAAAUUCUGCAGCCUUAAUACCUUCAGUCUUUUUGGAAAUGUUUCAGGAGCUGCUGCUCUGUGCCCUGCCUCGUGCUAGGCGUCGGGGAACCCCCAAGGGAACCACGGGGACCAGAGCCCGGCGGUCAUGGCGCUUGCUCUUGGAGGCACAUAAAGGGCUUCAUUUCAGAUGAUGAAAGUGCAAUGGGGUGAUGGAGUGGAGAAUGUGGGUGCUCUGAAUUUUAACCACGUGCUAUGACAUGGGGUGGGGUAAGGCUCCUAAUCUAGGAGCAGCCUUCUCGAGGUCUUUAACCAUCUGCAUAAGAGAUAGUAUAAAAAAGGAUCCUUUUCUCCAGAAGCCUGGCUACUGAAGAGAGAACUUCACACUUACAUAAGAGGAAAAAGAAGCCAGAGGAUGGAGUGUCACCUCAUCUGGUCAUCUUUUCUUGCCCUGUUAGAAUCAAGACAGCAGAGCAUAGCAAGCUUCAGAUGGCUUGUCUGGCUGGUCUGAGUCUCUUUAGGAUUAAAUGAGGCCUCUGUUGAUGGAGAUCCUUUGUUUCACUAUUAGCAUUAGGCUAAUAAGUUUCAGUAUUUUCUAAACCCCGUUUUAGGGUAUGUCUCCUGGUUGUUGGUGAUGUUGAAUUACAGGGUGUCCUACAGAGAGUAGCAGAAAUGUAGCUGUGUCUUCCAAGUAUUUGCUAUGAGUCCUCAGUGGCAGAUGUCUGUGAGCUGUAGCAUAAGAUGCAUUCAUGUAACAAAUAUCUAUUGCGUGCCUGCCGCAUGUGAAUACAAGGCGAAAGGUCCCUGCUUUCAUGAAAUUUCAUUGUAUUUCAUUGUAUUAAUUUCAUUGAAAGUAAUAAUCAAUUUCAAAUAAGGAUGAUUUGGCCUUGCACUUGAAAGAAGCAAAACAAGAUCAUGUUUACAGUGCCUGGGGGUGGAGAGGGGAGGAACAUUCUAUAGUUGUUGACUGGCUGAGUUGGGGUCAGGUGAUCCCAGCAGAAGUGGGCUGAUUCAUCAAAGAUCAAUUCAUUGAAAGUCAUUUUGCCAAAUAAUCAAUUCAGUGAUUUAGCAGAAUUUUCCAGAUUUACCAACUUACCAAAAAUGGCAUUUUAUGGCUUAAUCUUCUUGAUUUAGAUUCAAUGAAUAAGAAUACAGUCAUCUGAAUUUUUUCGGACAUAUAAGAAAAUACACUUUUUUUUUUUGAGAUGGAGUCUCACUGUCACCCAGGCUGGAAUGCAGUGAUUUGAUCUCAGCUCUCUGCAAACUCCGCCUCCUAGGUACAAGUGGUUCUUCUGCCUCAGCCUCCCGAGUAGCUGGGAAUACAUGUGUGCACCACCACGCCUGGCUAAUUUUUGUAUUUUUAGUAGAGACGGAGUUUUGCCAUGUUGACCAGGCUGGUCUUGAAUUCCUGACCUCCCACCUUGGCGUCCCAAAGUGCUGGGAUUACAGAUGUGAGCCACCGUGCCCGGCCCCUUCCAGUUCUUUUUCUACACAUAUACAUUAAUGUAUAGAAAAAAAUAUAUAUAUGUCAG